rnacentral:rRNA from 1 species
CACGUAGGAGGCGAGCGUUGUCCGGAAUCAUUGGGCGUAAAGAGCGCGCAGGCGGCUUGGCAAGUCGGGUGUGAAAUCCCGGGGCUCAACCCCGGGACUGCAUUCGAUACUGUCAGGCUAGAGGUAGGUAGGGGGGAUCGGAAUUCCUGGUGUAGCGGUGAAAUGCGCAGAUAUCAGGAGGAACACCGGUGGCGAAGGCGGGUCUCUGGGCCGAUACUGACGCUGGAGGAGCGAAAGCGUGGGGAGCGAACA